rnacentral:rRNA from 1 species
CAGCAGCCGCGGUAAUACGAAGGGGGCUAGCGUUGCUCGGAAUUACUGGGCGUAAAGGGCGCGUAGGCGGACAGUUCAGUCGGGGGUGAAAGCCCGGGGCUCAACCUCGGAAUUGCCUUCGAUACUGGCUGUCUUGAGUAUGAGAGAGGUGUGUGGAACUCCGAGUGUAGAGGUGAAAUUCGUAGAUAUUCGGAAGAACACCAGUGGCGAAGGCGACACACUGGCUCAUUACUGACGCUGAGGCGCGAAGGCGUGGGGAGCAAACAGGAUUAGAGACCCCAGUAGUCCCUGUCUCUUAUAC